AGUACUGGGAGGGGCGUGAGGACAGCCUGGGGCAGUUGGUGGCCUCCCCAUGCCCGUUAGGGCAGAGCUGCCGGCUUGAGGAGGACGCUGCUGAGCCCAGGGAUUGAGAGCGCUGGUUCCUGCUGUGGUCCCGGAGCUCCACCUGAGACAGGAGGGAAGCCGUCUGCCCACAGAGGAUAAGAACCGCCAGUUGCAGGAGCGCCUGGAGCUGGUGGAGAAGCUGCAGCAGACGCUGCGGAGGGUGGAGACGCUGCCCAAGGUGGAGGCCAAGCUGGCGCAGAAGGUGGCCGCGCUCUCCAAGGCGGGAGAGACACACAACAUCGAGGAGAGGCUGCGCCAGAUGGAGCCCCAACUGGAGGAGAACAAGGAGCUGCAGCGGGUCGUGUGCUGACGGGGAGGCAGCGUCUGGGUGGGAGAUGUGGCUUGGGCGGGGGCCAGCGAUGCCUUUCUCCACCACUCCCGUCUCUGCCACCGACUGUGUGCGUGUGUGGGCCCAUCUGCUGAUCCGGGCACCCACCUCCUUGGGAGCAGGGCCAGAGGUGGUCGCCCAUAGGCCGUGGGCAGGGGCCAGGGCAUCCCCACGUUCAAAGAGGCUGCUUAUUGCUCUGACCAGCCAGUCCGGGGAGCUGCUUGGGAUACAGGUGGACCUCACGACUGCCCCUCAAACAAAUCCGAGGGUGUCAGCCCGGGGCCCAUGAAACUGAAGGCAUGGUUCCCAGGUAUGGAGCCUGCUUGCCUCGGACGUGGCGCUGGAGUCCCACAUGCCAAACUGCUGGUCCAGACACGGUGUGUGUGUAGGAUGGCUGCUCCUAGGCAGGAGGAGAACCGUAGUUGCACUGCAACAGAAGGUACGUCAGGAAAGGAUGAUGGUGGAGGCUCGCAUCACCGAGUCCUGAGAGAGGUUUCCUGGAAGGGUUGGCCACACGGCGAUACAGACCAUCCAGGAAAUGGAGUGGGGAUCCCGGGUCCAGCCUCACGUGUCAGUACUGUCCCCACCAUGCAUGUGUUCUUGGGCCUGGACUGCAGAGCCUCACAGGCGGGGUCCCAGGGGGCAGUGGUUCUGACUCCCAUUGUGAGACCUGUGGUGAGGCGCCCUCCCCGCUUAGGCAGAGAGCUCAAUGUCUCCCGAUCAGGGGUGCACUUCCUUACUUUCAGAACUGCUGCUCAGAGGCUGUUGAGAUCGGGAUGCUGUUUAUGACUAAGCCAAUUCAAAGUAAACUUUUGUUUUGAUUUAAAAA